UACAGAGGUCUCAAGCGUUGUUCGGAUUCAUUGGGCGUAAAGGGCGCGUAGGCGGCGGGGUAAGUCGGGUGUGAAAUCUCAGAGCUCAACUCUGAAACUGCACUCGAUACUGCUCUGCUUGAGGAUGAGAGAGGUGAGUGGAAUUCCCAGUGUAGAGGUGAAAUUCGUAGAUAUUGGGAAGAACACCGGUGGCGAAGGCGGCUCACUGGCUCAUUUCUGACGCUCAGGCGCGACAGCGUGGGGAUCAAACAGG
rnacentral:rRNA from 1 species